ensembl:lncRNA
GCAGAAGGGAAGCAAUCUUCAUAUGUUGGAAAUGAAGAGAAAAUCAAUUGUCGAUAGGCAGGAAAAGAAUGCUAGCACAAUGAAUUCAACCUUACAUUUUCCAUGAAGAAGAGUUUUGACAGAAUUACAAGAAAGGUCAAACUGCAUCCCCAUCCCCAAAUGCAAUCAGGAAGAGUUUCCUUCAUGUUCCCUAGAAUGUAUGGCUAUAUCUGCCAUUACUUUAACUGUCUUCUCACAGAGCACCUCAUAGAGGUCAAACAAUUUUAGUAGGGGGCACUGUAUGUAUUGAUUAACUUGAAAGCAAGACAUCAACUCAAGACACAACUGACCUGGACCAGAACAACUAUUUAGCAGAUCAGUGAACACUCAAAAUCAAAAUGUAAUUUUUACCGAUUAACAGAUUUAGAAAGCAAUAUCUCACACUGAAAUCACCAGGACAUUUACCAAUUUCACUGAUUUACUACAAUGAAACCUUGAAGAGUGCAAUUACAGGAUCUUUAUUUGGUGGAUGUGGGGAAACCACACUAAGUGAUUUGUCUAAUCAUACAAUUGGAAUGAAAGGCAUCCAUGCUGUUCACUUGAGUGAUGUGAAUUUAAUUUCUACAGAAGGUCUUAUCCUUCAAAUGGCAUUAUGCUGUUUAAUGUUCUUCACACAGCAUCACAGGAAUGAUAGCUUCCAUGGCACAAGAGAAGAGAAUGCUCAGGACUGUUUACUGGUAGAAGAUCUGGCCUGUGACAAAGAACUCCAGCUUGCUAUGGGAGACUGGGGGAUGAUACCAUUGUAUUCUGUGAAGGCAAUAUACAAGUUGGCACCUCCAUGCUCCCUCUUAUCUGCUGGCAAGGCCUGGAAGAUGGGAACUAAAGGAGUUCUGCGAAGAUCCAAAAGCCAGAAGCUGUCACUCCAAAAGGAGCUGACUCAACCACUUUGGACUUAUAAAUAAGUUUGUACUUAUGUAAGGCAUUGGAAAGUAUCUCCAUCGUCUCCAUAGUCACUGUUGUCAUCAACCAAACAACAGCCCCCGACGACCGAUCACUACUGAAGAUCAAUGAUUGAACUACGAACCACACUAGACCCGUGGUGGUGUCUAUCUCCCUCUUGCUCUCUUCAAAGACUCCUUGCUUUUAUUUCCUAUCUUUUCUAUCACCCAUCUUCUCUUCCUCAUCUCCCUAAAUGACUAGGAUUUGUAAUAAACUGUUCAGGCUAACAUUUGACCCAUUGUGUCUUAAUCACACCAUCAGUUAUACAUAUGUCAAAGAACCUCCUCUCCCUCCUAUAAAUUGGAGCGAGACAACGUCUUUGUUUUCAGAAUAUAAUGACUGCAAGAAUGUAAAUAUCACUAGUUAGACUGUGGAAGGAAAUACUAUAAACAGUAGUAUCUGCUUGUUUUUUUCUUUCAGAAAAAAUAAAACAAAAUGCCAUUUAUUAAUAAAAUGCUGUCUCAAAGAGAAUAAGAGGUUCCAAAAGUUUUCUGAAUGUGUUAACCGUCUAUCAGUGUUUCUGGUCAACCAAAGAUGUCCCAGAAGGCUGGAGGUUGGCCAGUGACUCCCAUCUACAAGAAGGGUUAUAAUAAGGAUCUGGGGAGCUACAGGCCUUCAGCCUGACCAUAGUGUUGGGAAAGGUUGUGGAGCAGAUCACCUUGAGUGAGAUCAUACAGAAUGUGUGGGACAACCAGGGGAUCAGUCUCAGUCAGCAUGGACUCAUGAAAGGCAGGUCCUGCUUGACCAACCUCAUUUUCUAUGAUGGAGUGACCUGUCUGGGGGAGAGGGAAAGGCUGUUGAUGUAUUCUACUUAGACUUUAGCAAAUUCUUUGAUGCUACCUUCCACAG